rnacentral:rRNA from 1 species
UAGGGAAUCUUCCGCAAUGGGCGAAAGCCUGACGGAGCAACGCCGCGUGAGUGAUGAAGGUCUUCGGAUCGUAAAACUCUGUUAUCAGGGAAGAACAAAUGUGUAAGUAACUGUGCACAUCUUGACGGUACCUGAUCAGAAAGCCACGGCUAACUACGUGCCAGCAGCCGCGGUAAUACGUAGGUGGCAAGCGUUAUCCGGAAUUAUUGGGCGUAAAGCGAGCGCAGGCGGUUAGAUAAGUCUGAAGUUAAAGGCAGUGGCUCAACCAUUGUAGGCUUUGGAAACUGUUUAACUUGAGUGCAGAAGGGGAGAGUGGAAUUCCAUGUGUAGCGGUGAAAUGCGUAGAUAUAUGGAGGAACACCGGUGGCGAAAGCGGCUCUCUGGUCUAUAACUGACGCUGAGGCUCGAAAGCGUGGGGAGCGAACAGG